AAAGACUGUAAGUGUACAAAAAGAAAAGAAAGAGAAACUAGAGAAUAGAGAGGAAAUACGGACUGCUGACUUCACUUAGGAAGCUUGUUGUCUGCUGACUCACUGACUCACUAUUGUUCACUUUGAGAAAAAGUGGUUCCAUAUGAGAGGAAGACUUCACAAUUAGCUGAAUUGUUCUGAGGAAAGCAAAGGAAAAAGACACUGAAGUUUUGAGUAUAAAAGACAUUCCUGACUGCUGGGAAUACUUCAGUGCUGGUGCUACUGGCAAGAACUUGAGGCAAAGAAGGCACGUCAGUUUUCUUGUGGUUAUAGCUUCCUACUAGAGAGCCUGAAAAACUGUCUGGUGGCAGUCCUUCAAAGCCUGCUAGCUUCCUAAGGCUGUGAGCAGACAUAAUUUGUUGACAGCUCCAAAGGGCCACCCUUCUCUGCUCUCUGCAGGCCAAACUAAUUUUUGAAUAAUUUCUUGUUACACGGCUAGGAGUAUGACACCACUUCACUGUUUGAACAAUCAUUCUAAAGACUGAGAAGACGCUAUGGCUAGCUAUCUCAAUGUGCAAGC
rnacentral:lncRNA from 1 species